UGGGGGCCAGGGCAGAAAUGGUGGGGAGGGUGGGGGUGAGGCCUGGAGGGCCAGAAAGAUCUAUCCAUGACCUUCCUGCCCUUCCCACUGUCUCAUACCCUCUCGCUCCAUUUUACUCUGGUGGGCCCCUCUGCCUUGGAUUAUCUGGGAUGUGAGGCCAGAGGAGCAUAGAGCUAAGGGUGCCACCCAGUGGGUUACAGAGGGAGGGCUCUGACCUCUUUCUUCUCUAAAUCUCAGUCAAAAGGACUGGGUUCAAAUCCUGAUACUGGCACUCCUUUGUGGCCAUGGCUUUGGACAAAUUCCUUGACCAUUUUGAGCCACAUCCAACCUCAGCCGAGAAUCUGGAAGCUAAUAGAUUCUUGAAGUAUAUUUGUCAAGUGAACAAAUGAAUGAUUUCCCUAUUUUUGACAUGGGGAAAAUAAUGUUAGCACCAAGUACGUUUUGGGGUACAAAACCCAAACCAGUUGCUGGCUGUGCAGAACUUUGUGAACUCUCAAGCCUUCUAGUGUUACACAAAAUAAAGAUGCAGGAAAGAAGAAAUGGCUGUGGAGCUGGUGGUGAUGGUCCUGGCCUUCAACCCAGAAGCAGUAUAGAUUCCAAGAGGAGAGCCCCCGGAGAGGCAGUGCGGCGGAUGAGGGACAACCAGUGGAAAAGUCAAGCUUUCUAGUCUCUGCCUGCUAGAGAAUUCUGCAGGAAAUGCAGGACUGUUCUUCAAAGCCUCUCCUCUCUCAGGUGCUCUGUGGAAACCCUAGGUGAGCUCAGGGUUAUCGCUGGAAUAUUCAGUGCAUAUGAGGAGGUCCUGAGCUUUAUCACCAGCCCCCGUCUAGCAUCUGCCCAGUGGGGCGAAACAGCCCUGCUGCUUCUCUGCAGCUCAGGUGGCCUCCUCUGCCCUCCUUGAGCCGUUGCCUUCUCAGGUCUGGCUUCCCGCUGAGAACCAGGCUGGCACAGAUGUCACUUGGCUGCUCAAGGCUUCCAGCCCUCUUGAGUGUGAUGUCCGGGACAAUGGGCUGACUUUGCCACUACUGCCAGCAGCCACAGAAUUCCCAUAGAAUGGGUGGGGGCUCCAUUUUCAGAUGGGAAAAGGGAGGACUCAGUGCCCGGGAUCCAGGUCAUCUCAGUGAGUGUGCCUGAGCCACAUCUGGUUUCUCUGCCUACCCACCCUCCUAGGCCCCCCGGGGUUAGAACAAGAAGACAGUGGGCUUGAUCCUAGAAAAAUUCCCAUUUAAAACGGAAAGGGUAAAGCUUGUCUUUGGCAACUUUGCCCCAUCCCCAACUUCCCCAUUUUGUAUGUGAGAGAAGAGAAAAGGGCUGUGGGAGGUGGAUCAGAUGAGGAGGAGAGUCUGGUAACCCAAGCUCCAAGCAGGCAGAAGGCACCAGAAUGUCCCACAGUCCUGUAGCAUUCUGGCCAGGUCCCCCUGGCCUACUGGGCAGCCUAAUGUCUGAUACAGCAAGUUCUGGAGUUGGGACUGUUUGUUUUUUGUUUUUUGGUGUUUUUGAGACCGAGUCUCACUCUGUUGCUUGGGCUGGAGUGCAGUGGUGCGAUCUCAGCUCACUUCAACCUCUGCCUCCCAGGUUCAAGUGAUUCUCCUGCCUCAGCCUCCCAAGUAGCUGGGAUUACAGGCACACACCACCACGCCCAGCUAAUUUUUAAUAUUUUUAGUUGAGAUGGAGUUUUACCUUUGGCCAAGCUGGACUCGAACUCCUGACCUCGUGAUUCACCUGCCUUGGCCUCCCAAAGUACUGGGAUUACAGGCGUGAGCCACUGUACCGGGCCCAGGGACUGUUUGUUUCUUCCCUUUUGAUAACUGAAAUGGGACUAAACUGGCUUUUUUUGUCCUUGUUGUUGAGACGGAGUCUUGCUCUGUGGCCCAGGCUGGAGUGCAGUGGCAUGAUCUUGGCUCACUACAACUUCCGCCGCCUGGGUUCAAGCGAUUCUCCUGCUUCAGCCUCCCUAGUAGCUGAGACUACAGUCACAUGCCACCACACCCAGUUAAUUUUUGUAUUUUUAGUAGAGAUGGGGUUUCACCAUGUUGCCCAGGCUGGUCUCGAACUUCUGACCUCAAGUGAUCCACCCACCUUGGCCUCCCAAAGUGCUAGAAUUACAAGCAUGAGCGAGUAUACCCAGCCAUAGAUAGACUGGCUUCUUAAAAGUACACCUGAAACAACUGUAAUGUCUAAGAAGGUCAAAUUUAGGAAAAUCUCAUCUGCAGGACUGAGGUCCCCUGAGUCAUUGGCCACUUGUAAUUAAUAUUAAUGAGCUCUAGAUGACAGAUGUUUAUUGCUCAACUGACACAUGCGUUGCCAACCCCCAAAGGAGUGGCUCUAAGAGCUAAAGGACUUGAAUAUACUUUACUGUCACGUUGAAGAGAAUAAAACUUGCAGGCUAUAGUCAGGGUUUUUUACAUAUGAGAGCCCAAUAACCCACAGACAAUAUCUGCCUUAAGAAAAAAAGAAUUGAAUGUACCCCAGUUGUUUACUGACAUUUAAAAAUGGCUCCCUUUGUUCAAAAAUGAGGCAGACAUGAGACAGCAGAUAGGACACUGGGUAAGUCUCCUGGAGACCCCAGCCUGGCCCCAGCUCAUCCACUUGUUGGCUGUAUGACUCUGGUAAGUCUUUAAACCUUUUUAGCCAUUUGUAAGUUGAGGGGUUGAGUUAUAAGAUCCCUGAAGUCCUGUUCUUUGGGUCCAUGGGUCCAAACAGAGUUCCAAAGAGGAGCAGAGUCAGCACCUUCCAAAUUUAUGUAUUUAUUUAUUUAUUAUUAUUUUUUUGAGACAGAGUCUCACUCUGUCUCCCCGGCUGGAGUGCAGUGGCGCAAUCUCAGCUCACUGCAACCUCUGCCUCCUGGGUUCAAGUGAUUCUCCUGCUUCAGCCUCCCGAAUAUAGCUGAGACUACAGUCAUGUGCUACUACACCCAGCUAAUUUUUUGUACUUUUAGUAGAGACGGGGUUUCACCAUGUUGGCCAGGCUGUUUUCGAACUUUUGACCUUGUGGUUUGCUGCCUUGGCUUCCCAAAGUGCUGGGAUUACAUGCAUGAAUCACCGUGCCCGGCUUCCAAGAUUUAUUAAAUAGUAAUUUAAAAUCUUUUCAGGUUGAGCACGGUGGCUCACACCUGUAAUCCCAACACUCUGGGAGGCCAAAGUAGGCAGAUCACUUGAGGUCAGGCAUUCAAGACUAGCCUGGGCAUCAUAGUGAGACCCCAUCUCUACCAAAAUUUUUUUUAAAUUACCCAGGCAUGUGUGGUAGUGUUGGUGGUCAUAGUCCCAGCUACUCUAGAGGCUGAAGUGGGAGAGUCCCCUGACCCAGGAGUUCGAGGUUUCAGUGAGCUAUGAUCAUGCCAGUGCACCCCAGGCUGAGGAACAGAGCAAGACCCUGGCUCAAACAAAACAAAACAACUUUUUGCUUCUAAAAUUUGAUUAUGGAAGCAUUUAUUUAUUUAUGGAAGCAUUUAUAAAAGUAGAGAGAACCAUAUAAAGAUCCUCCAUAUGUUCAUGUAGACUAAACCAUUAUUAAUAUUUUGCUAUGUUUUUGCUUAUCUGUUUUUUUUUUUUUUGAGGCAGGGCCUUGCUCUGUCACUCAGGCGGGAGCACAAAUGGCACAAUCAUGGCUCAUUGCAGCCUCAACCUCCUGGGCUUAAAGGAUCCACCUGCCUCAUUUUUUAAUUUUUUGUAGAGAUGGGAUCUUACCAUGUUGCUCAGGCUGGUCUUGAACUCCUGGGCUCAAGCAAUCCGGCCACUUUGGCCUCCCAAACUGCUUGGAUUACAGGCAUGAGCCACUGCUCCCAGUUUUUCUCAAGUAUUUUAAAGCAAGUUCCCGCAAAACCUCUCUCAACCAAGGCUUCAGCCUGCUUCUCUGGAAAAUAAGACCCUUUCUUAUGUCAAUAAAAUAUCAUUAUCAAACCCAACACAUGGUAAUUAACAGCCAGUUUUUGAAGAUUUCCUCAUACUCAGUCCAUUUUCAAAUGUCUCCACAAUUUUCUGAACAGGCUCUCCACCCCUCCUACCCCAGGCCUGUACUUGGGGCUAACUACUUUUAACCAUUUCUGUUUUUAAUGUGUCUGGUGGGUACCUUUACAUCUCUAAAUAAUUUGCUUUUUUUUUUAGCAGAGUUUCGCUCUUGUUGGAAAUAGAUGCUCAGUGCUGCAAAGAAAAUUUAGCACUGGGCCGGGCGCGGUGGCUCAAGCCUGUAAUCCCAGCACUUUGGGAGGCCGAGGCGGGUGGAUCACAAGGUCAAGAGAUCGAGACCAUCCUGGUCAACAUGGUGAAACCCCGUCUCUACUAAAAAUACAAAAAAUUAGCUGGGCGUGGUGGCACAUGCCUGUAAUCCCAGCUACUCAGGAGGCUGAGGCAGGAGAAUUGCCUGAACCCAGGAGGCGGAAGUUGCGGUGAGCCGAGAUCGAGCCAUUGUACUCCAGCCUGGGUAACAAGAGCGAAACUCCGUCUAAAAAAAAAAAAAAAAAAGAAGAAAAUUUAGCACUGAGACAAAGGACCUUUCAGCAAUGCAAUUUUUACUUCCCGAACUGCAGGAAGGAUACCCUCACUGGCCAUUGUGCCAUGAGAGUACAAUAAACAAAGGAAAACACACAAAUUUAUCCCUUACGCAUUUGGGGUUGUCCUUACUGCUGUGUCUGAUCUUGCUUGGCUGGAGCCAGACCUCAUGAUCUAAACUAAAACCCAAUUGGCUAACAACUUAAAACUUUUCUAAACAAGUUAAAGCAAUGGAGAGCUGGGACAGGCCUGUGAGCACGUCCAGCACAGAUAUCUUGGUUAAAGUACAAGGACAUAGAAUGUAUUUUGUGUCUGUAAGCAUGGCAUGUCUAACAGCUACAUAGAAUAGGGCUUAACAAAGUCAUUAGCACCCUUAUGUUUUAACAAGAAAGGAAACUUUAAAAAGGAACUUUUCUACUUCCCACAGCUCUUCUUGCCCAGGCUGGAGUGCAGUGGUGUGAUCUUGGCUCACUGUACCUCCACCUCCCAAGUUCAAGCGAUUCUCCUGUCUCAGCCUCCCAAGUAGCUGGGAUUACAGGCAUACACCACCACGCCUGGCUAAUUUUAUAUUUUUAGGAGCGAUGGGUUUCUCCAUGUUGGUCAGGCUGGUCUUGAACUCAAGACCUCAGGUGAUCCACCCGCCUCAGUGCUGGGAUUACAUGUGUGAGCCACCACAUCCGGUCGAAUAAUGAGCUUUAUCAUUGUUUCUUGCUUUACCAGCUGCAGUCACUGUCUCUUGGCUUUCAGCUGUGAUCGAUGAGAGUUUAGUUAACUUAAAUUCUUCUUUCCUUCCAGUGUGGUAUAUUUUUCAUUUUAGUUCCUCUGUGUAGCAACCUUUAUUAACAUUCUGUUUUUGAGUCAAAUUGUGUCCUUGUGAAAGAUAUGUUGAAGUCAUAAUCACUGGUGCCUAUGAAUGUGAUCUUAUUUGGAAAUAGGGUCCUUGCAGAUCUUGAAGUUAAGAUGAGGUUAUAUCGGAUUAGGGUUGACCCUGAAUCCAGGGACUGGUAUCCUUAUAGGGAGGGAGAGAUUUGGAAAUAGGCACACAAAGAGGAAAGAUAGCCACGUGGCGAUGGAGGCAGAGAUUAGCAAUGCAGCUCCAACAACCACCAGCAGCUGGAGGAUUCUUCCCUGGAGCCUUCAGAGGGAACACCACCCUGCCAAUACCUUGAUUUCAGACUCUGGCCUCCAGGACUGGGAGAGAAUAAAUUUCUGUUGUUUGAAACCACUCUGUGUGUGGCGAUUUGUUAUGGUGGCCUUAGAAACGAGUUCCUCUACCUUUGUAUCAUUCCAUAAUAAACUUUUGGUUCUAUUUAUUAUUCCAUCAGCUACCCCUUAACGUCCUCCUUUGUUCUCUCUCUCUCCUUUUUUUUUUUUUUUGAGACAGAGUCUUGAUCUGUUGCCCAGGCAGGAAUGCAAUGGCACGAUCUCGGCUCACUGCAACCUCUACUUCCUGGAUGCAAGAGACAGAUUCUUGUACCUCAACCUCCCAAGUAGCUGGGAUUACAGGCACCCACCACCACACCCAGCUAAUUUUUGUAAUUUUAGUAGAGAUGGGAUUUUGCCAAGUUGGCCAGGCUGGUUUUAAACUCCUGACCUCAGGAGAUCCACCCACCUCAGCCUCCCAAAGGGUUGGGAUUACAGGCGUGAGCCACCGCACCUGGCUCGCUUCCUCCUUUGUAAGAUGAAGGUAAGAGCCAACGUUUGCAACAGACAGCUGGAUGGACUCAGGGUCCAAGAAGUCUGAGUGAUCACGAGAAACACUAAACAAGGGGUGAAUGCCUUCAGAUCCCAGGUCUGUAGACUAUCUUAUGGCUUGUCUGCAGCUACGAGUCCCAGGCUGCUGAGCAGGAGUCUGAAGGGGAGUGCUUCCCAGAGUUAAGGCUGCGUCCAUCCCCAGACUACAGCGGCUGAGUUGGUCUGCUUCCCUCUUGCUCAUGAAGGCCUGUUCUCGCAGGAAAUGUCCCAGAAGCUGGCAGUAAACACAAGUUGCCUUAUAGAACAUCUUCUUUUUUUAAAUUUAAUUAAUGAUUUUUAUUUUUUUUUAGAGACAGGGUCUCACUCUGUCACCGAGGCUGGAGUGCAGUGGCUUGAUCAAAGUUCACUAUAGCCUCAAUGUCCCAGGCUCAAGUGAUCCUCCUGCCUCAGCCUCCUGAAUAGCCCGAACUAUAGGUACAUGACACCCUGUCUCAUUUUUCUUGUCUUGUCUUUUUUUUUUUUUUUUUUUGAGACAGAGUUUUGUUCUUGUUGCCCAGGCUGGAGUGCAAUGGCAUGAUCUUGGCUUGCCGAAACUUCUGCCUCCCAGGUUCAAGUAAUUCCCCUGCCUCAGUCUCCCAAGUAACUGGGAUUACAGGCUUGCACCACCACACCUGACUAAUUUUGUAUUUUUAGUAGAGAUGGAGUUUCUCCAUGUUGAUCAGACUGGUCUCAAACUCCUGACCUCAGGCGAUCCACCUGCCUCGGCCUCCCUGGGAUUACAGGUGUGAGCCAUUGCACCCGGCCUCAUUUUUCAAUUUUUUUUUGUACAGAUGGGGUCUUUUUUUGAUUCCCAGGUUGGUCUUGAACUCCUAGACUCAAGCGAUCCUCCUGCCUUGACCUUCCAAAGUGCUGGGAUUACCGGUGUGAGCCACCGCGCCCGGCUGAGCCGCUUCUUCUGAACCCUGCUUUGACAUUAAACCAUUACGAUGCAUCAAGGGCUGCUAGGAAAUGGUUGCAUGAGGCAUGCUUCUGUUUUUUUUUUUUUUUGUAGGAAUGUUAUUGCCCAUUUUUUCUUCUAUGAAGGCCUAUGGGAGAAAUUUCCUUCACAACUUAGCUUAAGAAAAAAAAAACUGUGCUGCUUUUGAACAACUGGGGUGGUUUACUUCCAUGGUCUUGGUAAAUGUGGUGUCUUAGUUUCCCUCUUAGCUUUGGCUGUCAGGAAAUUCAGAGCUUAAUUUACAGUCACAUGCAGCUCUGGAAUAGGAGAUGGCAUUGUCUUUAUUAUUAUGAAAUAUUUCAGGCAUUCAAAAAUUACAGUGACUGUACAACAAAUAUCCACGUACUCAGGUUAAGACAUGAGCCUCUUGUAUCCAUUCCUGAUCCCUUUUCUCUUUUUCCCUACUCUUGUGGUGGACAUUUUCCUGGACUUGCUGUUUAUCUUUGUCAUUUAAAAAAAUAUGUUUUUUUCUACAAGCAUAUGCAUCUAUAACAAAUGUAUAGUAUUGUUUUACACAUUUUAAAAUAUUAUAUAAGUGGCUUUAUACUGCAUGUAUCCCUCUUUUUUAAUUUGAUCUUUUUACUCAAGAGUUUUAUUUUGAAACUUACCUGUUUUGCCACGUGUAACUCUAGUUAAUUCAUUUUCACUGCCGUAUGGUAUUCUAUUAUAAGACUAGAUGCACGAAUACGUAGCGUUUAAGAGUAUAGCUCUGGGGCCAGGCUGCCUUGGUUCAAACUCCAACGCUGCCACUUACUAGUUCUGUGACUGGGCAAAUGACAACCUCUUCUCCAUGACUCUGUUUCUUCAUCUGUAAAAUGGGUCUAAUGAUACCACCUAUUUCAUAGAGGUGGAAAAAAAUGAUUUAAUAGGUGAAAAGCAUUUAAAAUAUUCCUGGUAAGUAGUGUAAGAGUUGGUCUCAUAAGCACUAAUGGAACAUUCUUUUUUUUUUUUUUGAGACAGAGUUUCGCUCUUGUUGCUGCCCAGGCUGGAGUGCAGUGGCACAAUCUCAGCUCACCGCAACCUUUGACUCCCAGGUUCAAGCGAUUCUCCUGCCCCAGCCUCUGGAGUAACUGGGAUUACAGGUCAUAGAAUGAGUUAAGGGAGAUAAAACUCAGGAGGCCUGCCUUUCAGGCCUCCAGAAUAAUGUCUUUAGCAACUGGUCCAUUGGAAUCCAGUGAUUUAUUCAAAUCAUCAUUAACGAAGGCAGUGGUUUCCAACUACCGAAUGAAGACUGAGCAUGUGCAGGGGAGAGGGGAUGGUCUGCUUCCAUAGGUAGAACCAGCCCAGAAGCAUCAGGUCCCACCGGCAUGAGGGAAUGAAUUACACAAUGGUCAAAAGAGAGAAGACCAGCCAGGCCAUUCUGGGAGAGGAGGAGACGACUGGAAGGCUAGAGAAACUUAACUCACAGGCAAGCAGGAAUUAGAGCUUGUUAUAGUCUAAAUGUUUGUGUCUCACCAAAAUUUCUAUGUUGAAACCUAACCCCUGAGGUGAUGGUAUUAAGAGGUACAGCCUUUGGGAGGUGAUUAGGUUAUGAGGGCAGCAUGAAUGGGAUUAAUCGAUUAUAAAAGAGGUGGAGCGGCGGGAUGUGGUGGCUCACGCAUAUAAUCCCAGCACUUUGGGAGGCUGAGGCGGGCAGAUCACCUGAGGUCAGGAGUUCGAGAUCAGUUUGGCCAACGUGGUGAAACCCCAUCUCUACUAAAAAAUACAAAAAUUAGCCAGGUGGCAGGUGCCUUUAAUCCCAGCUACUUGGGAGGCUGAGGCAGGAGAAUCCCUUGAACUUGGCAGGUGGAGGUUGCAGUGAGCCAAGAUCAUGCCAUUGCACUCCAGCCUGGGGCGACAAGAGUGAAACUCCAUCUCAAAAAACUAAAAUAAAAAUAAAUAAAAGAGAUGGCGCCUGUUUUCCCCUUCUGCUGUGUAAGGAUGUAGCAAGAGGUGCCAUCUAUGAAGAAUGGGCCCCCACCAGGCACUGCAUCUGCUGGCGCCUUGGUUGUGAACUUCUCAGCCUCCGGCACUGUGAGCAAUAAAUUUCUAUUGUUUACAAAUUACCCAGUCUAAGGUACUUUGCUGUAGUAGCACAAAUGGACAAAGACAGAACCCAAUGUUAAGAGAGAACAGGAGUUCAGUACAGAGCAGGCUGAGUGAAGUAAGACAUGAGUGUGGGGCUGGAUCAUUCCUAGACUGACCCUGAGCACACUGGAUUCUGAUCAUGACAUCCGGGGCAUAUGUGGGCAUCCAUGGAUAAGGUUGUCUUUCAUAAUCUUGGACCACCUUUCCCAACUUAAUAUAUACAACUACGGCAUUUCUAAUCAGAUCUCAUUGCAGUUUUUAUUUUUAACUUAAUAACUUGAUAAUAAAAUCUAACUGGAAGAAUAAAUGCAUAAAAUUAGCCAAAAUAAAAAUUUGAAAUAUAAGCAUAUAAUAUUAUGUAUAUAAUACUAGCUAUCAAAUACAUUAUAAAGCAACAACAAUUAAAACAGCAUUGUACAUGUAUAGGAACAGGCAAUUAGACCAGGGGGUACAACAGGGAGUCUAGAAAAAAACCCUGUGUGUAUAUGAUAAUUAAAUAUAUGACAGAAACACCAUUUUGCAUCAGUAAGAGAGGAUGGUUUAUUACAUAAACAGUGUUAGGGAUAGGUUGUGAAUUUCAGAGAUAAUUUAAAUUUGGUUCCUGUGCCCAUUUUCUGGUUCCAUACAUGAAAUAAAUCUGAAAUGGAUUAAAGUGCUAAAAAUAAAAAUUAAAAUGAUAAAAGUGCCAGAAGAAAAUAUAGGUUUUUUUAUUUUAGCAUGACACAAAAACCAGAAGACAGCAGGAAAAGAACAACAGUCUAACUACGUAAACAAACAAACAAUAACAACUUUUGUAUGGUGAAAAAUGCCACAAACAAAAGUUAGAGUGGAAGAAAACAUUUUAAACAAACAUAACUGAUAAAAGUGUCACAUUCAUGGUAUACAAAAAUGUCCUACAAAUCAGUGAGCAAAACAAAUACCAUAGAUAAAUGAACACAGGCGACAUCCAGGCGAUUCACCAAAGAAGAAACCCAUGUGACAUAGAAAGCAUGAAAUGAAAGUCUACGUCAGCAACAAAAUAUAAAACAACACAACUAAAACCAAAAGGAGAUGUAGUUCCCUAUCAAAAUUAGCCAAAAUUAAACAGAUUGCCAGCGAUCAGUAUUUGGAAGGAUACAGAUAAAAAGGCAUCCAUAGCUGACAAAACUAAAAACUUGCCAUAACACAUCUGAUGAAGAGUCUGGCAGUUACAGUCAAAUUUAAAAUAUAUUUUCUCAUUGAGCCAGAAAUUAUACUUUUAGGAAUGUAUCAUACAGAAACCCUUCUUUAAGAGAGAAGAGAUGAAUGCCUACGUAUGUUUACUUAGCAUUCUUUGUUAUAGAAAAAUACUGCAAAUAAUCCUUCAGGGUAAGAGAGGUUGGAUAAGUUGUAGAAAAUCCAUACAAUGGAAAACUAUUAGAAAGAAUAGCUCUGCAGAGAUGGAGCUAUGUCCACAACAAGCUGUUAAUUUUUUUAAGAAGAGUGAAUUGAUGAAUGAUACAUAAAGCAAAAUUCCAUUUAUUAAAGAUUACCUCAGCCUCCUCAGUAGCUGGAACUACAGGUGCUCACCACCAUGCUGGGCUAACUUAAAUUUUUUUUUUCUUUUGUAGAGAAAGGGGUCUUACUGUGUUGACCAGCCAGUUUUGAAUUUCUUACUCAAGGUAUACUCCUGCCUUGGCUUCCCAGUGUUGGGAUUAUAGGCGUGAGCCAGUACCUGGUGUAUUAUAGAUUUUUUUUGUUUGAGAGAGGGUCUCACAUUGUUACCCAGCCUGAAGCGCACUGGUGAGAUCCUGGCUCACUGCAGUUUCCGAUUCCUGAGUUCAAGCGAUUCUCCUGCCUCUGCCAUCCAGUAGCUGGACUACAGGUAUGAGCCAUCAUGCCUGGCUAAUUUUUGUAUUUUUCGUAGAGACAGGGUUUCACCAUGUUCCCCAGGCUGGUCUUGAACCCCUGACCUCAAGCGAUCUGCCCAUCUCAGCCUCCCAAAAUGCAAGGAUUACAAGAUGUGAGCCACCAUUUGUAGAAUUUUUAAAACACAUUAAAAGUAAAGAGUAUAGUGUAAUGAAACUCCAUAUCUCAUCACCGGGUUGCAAUAUAUAUAUAUAUAUAUACAUUUUUUUUUGAAAUGGAGUCUCACUCUGUUGCCCAGGCUGGGGUGCAAUGGUGCCAUCUUUUCUCACUGCAACCUCUGGCUUCCAGGUUCAAGCAAUUCUCCUGCCUUAGCCUCCCUAGUAGUUGGGAUUACAGGCGUGUACCACCAUGCCUGGCUAAUUUUUGUAUUUCUUUUAGUAGAGAUGGAGUUUCACCAUGUUGGCCAGGCUGGUCUUCAACUCCUGUCCUCAAAUGAUUCACCUGCCUCGGCUUCCCAAAGUGCUGGGAUUACAGGUGUGAGCCACCACACCCGGCUGGUUGCAACAAUUUUAAGUUCUUGGCUAUUGUUUUUCCAUCCCACUCAUUGGCUCCUUCACCCAUGGAUUACUUUGAAGCAAAUCCCAUAUACCCUAUCACUGUACCCAUAAAUAACCUUGGAGCCACUUUCACGUUUAAAGUAUGACACAGGCCGAGAAGAAGGGCUCAGAGGAUACACACCAAGUUGAUAUUAGUAGGAUUGAGGAGUAAGAGUUUUUAUUUUAAACACUUUAGAUUACUAGACAUAUAAUUUAUUUUUGCAUUACUUUUUUUUUUUUUAAUUUAGACUUGUAAGCAAAAAAGUGAGAGACCAGGUGCGGUGACUCAUGCCUGCAAUCCCAGGGCUUUGGGAGACCGGGGCAGGUGCAUCGUUUGAGCCCAGAAAUUUGAGACCAGCCUAGGCAACAUGGUGAAACCCUGUUUCUACAAAAAAAUACAAAAGUUAGCCAGGUGUGGCUGCGCACGUCCACGGUCCUGGCUAUUUGGGAGCCUAAGGUGGGAGGACCACUUGAGCCCAGGAAUUCCAGGUUGCAGUGAGCUAUGACUACACCACUGCACUCCAGCCUGGGUAACAGAGUGAGAUUCUGUUAAAAAAAUGAAAAAGAGGCCAGGCGCGGUGGCUCAAGCCUGUAAUCCCAGCACUUUGGGAGGCCAAGGCGGGUGGAUCACGAGAUCAAGAGAUCGAGAUCAUCCUGGUCAACAUGGUGAAACCCCGUCUCUACUAAAAGUGCAAAAUAUUAGCUGGGCAUGGUGGCGCGUGCCUGUAAUCCCAGCUACUCAGGAGGCUGAGGCAGGAGCAUUGCCUGAACCCAGGAGGCGGAGGUUGCGGUGAGCCGAGAUCACGUCAUUGCACUCCAGCCUGGGUAACAAGAGCAAAACUCCAUCUCAAAAUAAAUAAAUAAAUAAAUUAAUUAAUUAAAAAAAUAAGAGAGAGAGAGAGAGAGACCUCAACAACUAUCCUUUUCGUCUGUAUAGAAACCCCUUUUAAACUGUAAAAACAGCAAACAGAAUUAUUCUUACUUGAUUUUUUUCAAGCGCCACCUCAAAUCUUGUAUGGAAUGGUUUGGGAAUUCAUCCAUAAAUACAUUGAAACUUGAAUACACAAUCAAUACCUAGAAUAUUCUGUUUAGGUCUAGUUUUCGACAGUUGAGUUGCAGCCUCUAUAUGUGCGUGUCCUGUAUGCAUAUUAUAAUAUAGGGAAGUAUUUACAUAUCAAUCUGUACCGGUAUGAUCGUUUUAUAGAAUUAGCUCAGUAGCUCACCUGCAAAGUUUCCAGAGGAAGAAUUUGAUUGGCUCACCUUGCGUCAGCUGUUCACUCCUUGCCCAGUCAGCUGUGACCAGGGACCAGGGAAGGCCGGGUGUCUGCAGACCUAGCGGACUUCUCACUUUUUUUAUUUUUAUUUUUAAUAAGAGACGGGGUUUCACCGUGUUGGCCAGGAUAGUCUCCAUCUCUUGACCACGUGAUCCCCCCCCCCCCCCCACGCUUCAGCCUCCCAAAGUGCUGGGAUUACAGGCGUGAGCCACCGCACCCGGCCUCACUUCUUCUACUAAUUCCUGUACAUGCCUAGCACCUAGUAGCCCCCUAAGCUCCUCUUUACCAUCACGUGUGCGCCCGGGCUCCUAGUUGAAGGACACGCCCCACACAUUCAAUGUGGAGGCCUGGAGCUGCCACAGCACAGGCCCUGUCACUGCGGACCCUGGGUGAGGGCCUCCUCCUUUGCCUCCCUUUCCCUGCCCUGCGGACAGGACAAGGCGCACCUACAGCCCAGCAAGCACUGUUUUCACAACAGCGCUUCUCAGCGCUUCCCCUUGACCUUGGAGUUCAGCCCCCCGGGCGUUUCCUUGCAGGCCCAUCUCCCCUCAUCACAACCUUCUCCACAAACCCACUUGGAUAUGAGCUAAUGCCAUUAUCUUCCUGAAAUUAAAAUCAAGCCUCAACCUAUAAUGUUUCACAGAGAGGGAAUUGGGGUUAUAUAUUCCUGCGUUGAGCGGUAUUCUAUUUCAGUCAUAGCAUUUAAUUAUGAUUGGUAUGUUAGUGCCCAUCGGAGCAUAACAAAUUGUCAUUAUGUUAUUCUGCUGAGUCUAAUUUAAUUGGCAAGUUGUCACAAAAGCAAUUAUCCAUCAUUUAUUUUGUUGCCAUAACCACAUCUCGAAGAGCACCUGCUGUCUGCGAGGAGAAAUGCGCCACAGUCUCUCAGCCCUGGAUCCAGGCCACUUAUCUGACACAAAGACAUUGCUUCCCCCUUCUGAUUUAAAAAUAUGUUCCUCAUUUCCUGCUGCGGUCUCAUGAAUCCUCCUGGGGGAGCCUCAAAGUGCCAAAGGAAAUUCAUGGUCUGGGAAGUUGCCCGAGAGGUCUGCCUUGCCCCGUCAGGGGAGGGUGGGAGGCAGCAGGAGGACGAAGACCCCCGUGGAGGGCCCGGGACCCGACUGGGUCAGGCUUCGCUCCGUCAGCUGUUUCAGCUGCCACCUCAGUGAUGGAUUUAUAAAUAUUUGCUGCUCUUUUCUCCCCGAGCACGCCGCGUGCUUGCUCCUUGGGAGGCGGGAUUGUUUGGCCAUUUCACAGAGACAGAACCCGAGGCUCCGGGUCACAAGAUAAGUCUGGGUAGCAGCCAGGACCCCAGUAAAGACCUCCAGAGUCCAAAGGCUUUUUUCAUUCUUAGGAUCAAACAUGUGCAGGCCUGCCAGAACCCCAGACUGUGGCUCUGGGUGCAGGGGCAGCUUUCUCUGUGGUCCUAGGACUAGACCUCACUGGCCCAUUUCACAUGGAAGCAUCCGGCUGGGAGCUCAUUAUAGCAUCCGGUGCAAUGACUGCCCAAUCUCCCUGAAGCCUCUGAGCCUAAAUCUCUGGGAGGCCCUUUUAUCCCCACUCCUACUCGGGUGCCUCUCAUGCCUGGACCGUAUCCCCAACACCCACAUGCAAGUCAAGGCAAGCAACAUUGUCUUAUGAAUUUUUUUCUUUGCUGAAACGGGGAAGAUAGUCUUAAGGGAAGAGAAAGCUUGCAGGUCUGUCUCUGUCCUGGGGGCUGGAAGCAGGUGCAAAAAUUACUGAUGUUCUUGCUUCCCUGAUGGUCUUUUUAGCAUAGUCACCAAAGAACUCAUUAAAAAGAAAAGCAAAACAACAAACAAAAACACCACCAAUAAAACAAACCAAAAACCCACCACUGUAUUGCAAAGGGGAAAAAGCAACCAGACUUCUAAAUAAACCAGCUUUUUCCUUUGGGUCAGUCGGGUACAAUUUCCAGACUAUCUCUUGGAGGACAGUGGAAAAUGAGCAGCUCCCUGAACAGGCAGAUCAUUUCUUGCAACUCUUAAAAAAAAAAUGACUCUCAUUGCAGUUGUUGAUAAAAACUAGGGAUGUGUCAGACUCCUCCCUCUGUACCAGCAUUAUCCCUAAGGAAUGUUCCUCGCGGCUACAGAGAAGUCACUUUUUCUACCACAACACAAUGCUGUGGAUCUCUGCUUACUGUGGAGGGCCCCACUUGAGCCUGAAGUUAGGCAGUCAAUAUUGGAGCAGGAAAAAGUUGAAUGUGCAAGGAAGGGCCUGCGCAUGAGUCCCCUGCUGGGCCCAAUUGUGGAAGAGGGUGGUGCUCUCCCACAUCAUGAGUGUGUAAAUUGGUGCAAACUCUGUGGAAAGUAAGCUGGCUAAAUGGGUGAAGAGCCAUAUAAAAUGUGUGUCAUUUUUGAGUCAUGAAUUCCAUUUAGGAUAAACAAAUUGCUUCAAAAACAGAAGAAAGAGGCUUGCUUGCUCUAGUGCUAUUUAUUUAUUUAUUAUUUAUUGAUCCCCGCCCCCCGCAAGAUGGAGGCUUGCUCUGUCACUCAGGCUGGAGUGCACUGGUAUGAUCUCGGCUCACUGCAACUUCCACCUUCCGGGUUUAAGCAAUUCUCUUGCCUCAGCCUCCCGAGUAGCUGGGAUUACAGGUGCACAGCACCACACCUGGCUAAUUUUUUGUAUUUUUAGUAGAGACAGGAUUUCACCAUGUUGGCAAGGCUGGUCUUGAACUCCUGACUUCAUGAUCCACUUGCCCAGCCUAUUUAUUUAUUUUUGAAAUUGAGUCUCAUUGUGUUGCUCAGGCUGCAGUGCAGCGGCAUGAUCUCAACUCACUGCAACCUCCACCUCCCAGGUUCAAGUGAUUCCCCUGCCUCAGCCUCCUGAGUAGCUGGGAUUACAGGGACCCACCACUGCACCCAGCUCAUUUUUGUACUUUUAUUAGAGACGGGGUUUCACCAUGUUGGCCAGUUUGGUCUCAAACACCUGACCUCAAGUGAUCAGCCACCUCAGCCUCCCAAAGUGCUGGGAUUACAGGCAUGAGCCACCUUGCCUGGCUGGCUCUAGUGUUAUUUAUAAUAGCAAAAUCAAAGUCUGUGCUAAACAGCAUAUUGACUUAGAGCACAUGGCUACAAGCAAUGGGUGUAGAUGGAACUCAGUUUUCGUUUUCUGGGAGGGAUGUUGAAACACGAGGAAUUCUUUUUUAAAAAAUAAUUUCUGGCUAGGUGCAGUGACUUACACCUGUAAUCCCAGCACUUUGGGAGGCCGAGGUGGGCGCAUCAUGAGAUCAGGAGAUCAAGACCAUCCUGGCCAACAUGGUGAAACCCUGUCUCUACUAAAAAUACAAAAAUUAGCUGGGCGUGGUGGUGUGCGCCUGUAGUCUCAGCUACUUGGAGGCUGAAGCAGGAGAAUUGCUUGAACCCCGGAGGUGGAGGCUGCAGUGAGCCGAAAUCACACCACUCUACUCCAGCCUGGGUGACAGGGUAAGGCUCUGUCUCAAAAAAAAAAAAAAAUAACAUUUCAACUUUUGUUUUCUAUUAAGGGGAUACAUGUGCAGGUUUGUUACCUGGGUGUAUUGUGUGAUGUGGAGAUUUGAGUAUGAUUGACCCUGUCACUCUGGUAGUUAGUUUUUCAACCCUUGCCUCCCUCCGUCCCUCUCUCCCACUCUGGUAAUCCCCAGUAUUUAUUGUUACCAUCUUUAUGUCUACGAAUACCCAAGGGUUAGCUCCCACUUAUAAGUGAGGACACAUGUAUUUGGCUUUCUGUUCUUGCAUGAAUUUGUUUAGGAUAAUGGCCUCCAGCUGCAUCCAUGCUGCUGCAAAGAACAUGAUUUCAUUCAUUUUUAGGUAUUCAUAGUAUUUCUGGGUGUAUAUGUACAACAUUUUCUUUGUCCAAUCCAGCAUUGAUGGACGCCUAGGUUGAUUCCAUGUCUUUGCUACUGUGAAUAAUACUGUGAUGAAAAUAAUUUAUUUUUGAGGCAGAUCUCUCCUCUCUGUCACUCAGGCUGGAGUGCAGUGGCAUAAUCAUGGCUCACUGCAGCCCUCAAUCUCCUGGGCUCGAGAGAUCCUCCUGUCUCAGCCUUCCAAGUAGCUGGAACUACAGGUGUGUGCCACCAUGCCUGACUGAAUUUUUAAAUUUCUAAUAGAGAUAAAGUCUUGCUAUACUGCCCAAGCUUGUCUUGAACUCCUGGGCUCAAGCAAUCCUCCUGCCUCAGCCUCUUAAAGUGCUGGGAUUAUAGGCAUGAGCCACCACACCUGACCGGAAGGAAUUCUUUCUGUAAUUUCAUUAAGUAAGCAUUUGUUGAACACCUCAAUUUUUUUGAGCCAGGUUAUACAUGUAUGUAAAUACAGAUGAGACAUACGCACAUAUAGGUUCAUCCUAUAUUAGUUUCCUGUUGCUGUUUUAACAAAUUACCUUCCAUUUAGUGCCUUAAACCAGUGGUCCCCUACCUUUCUGCCACCACGGACUGGUUUUGUGGAAGACAGUUUUUCCAUGGAUGGGGGUGGGUGGGGAGAGAUGGUCUGUGGGAUUCUCAUAGGGUGUGUGCAAUCUAAAUCCCUGAAAUGCACAAUUCACAAGAGUUCGACUCUAAUGGCAUGGCUGAACUGACAGGAGGCGGAGCUGUGGCAGUAAUGGUUGCUCACCUGCCGCUCACCUCUUGCUAUGUGGCCCGGUUCCUAACAGGCUAUGGACUGGUACUGGUCCACUGCCUGGGGGUGGGGCCUCCCUAGCUUAAACAAUACCAGUUGUCUUACGGUUUUCUGGGUUGGAAGUCUGAAAUCGGUCUCCUGGGCUAAAAUCAAGAUGUUGGCAGGGACAUGUUCAUUUCUGGAGGCUAUGGCGAGAAUCUGUCUCCUUGCCUUUUCCUGCCUCUAGAGCUCCCCACAUUCCUUGACUUCUUGCCAUUCUCUCUCUCUCUCUCUUUUUUUUUUUUUUGAGAUGGAGUCUCACUAUGUUUCCCAGCCUGGAGUGAAGUGGCAAGCUCUUGGCUCACUGCAACCUCUAUCUCCCAGAUUCAAGCUAUUCUCUUGCCUUAGCCUCCUGUGUAGCUGGGAUUAUAAGCAUACGCCACCACACCCAGCUAAUUUUUGUAUUUUUAGUAGAGAUGGGGUUUCACCAUGUUGUCCAGGCUGAUCUCGAACUCCUGACCUCAGGUGAUCUGCUGCCUUGGCCUCCCAAAGUGCUGGAAUUACAGGUGUGAGCCACUGCACCCAGCCUUCCUCCAUUCUCAAUGCCAGCAGUGUUGAGCCAAAUCCUUCUGACUGUGUCACCCUGACCUUCUGUAGUCACAUUUCCCUCUGGCUCUCUGCUUCUGCUCCACUUUGAAGGAUCCAUGUGAUUAUGCUGGGCUCACUCCAGUAAUCCAGAUCAUCUCCCUGUUUUAAAGUCAGUUGGUUAGUGACCUUAAUACCAGCUGCUACCUUAAUUCCUUUUUGCCAUGUAAUGAAACGUAUUCACAGGUUCCAGGGAUUAGGUUGUAGAUAUCUUUGUUUGUGGGGGUGGGUGGGAGGAGAGUAGCAGUAUUCUGCCAAUCACACUCCAGACUGACCAGAAGCCCACAAUUGAGUGAGAGAAACAUGUGAACACAUCUUCAGCGUACAUGGCAGAGCGCCAUAAUCAGCUCUCAGAAUCUGAGAGGCAAUAUACAUAUUUAUCCAUAAUUCAGAAAUUUCUUGCUGGGAGGCUAGAUGCUGACCAACUCAGUUUUCCUCCUCUUCCCAGCACGAACUCUCUGCUGUGGUCACUUCAGUCCCUCCACUGUUUCUAGUACUUAAAUAUUAUAGAAUAUUAUGGAAGUAUUGAAGACUCCUGGCUCCUGGGGAGGCUGAGGCAGGAGGAUCACCUAAGCCCAGGAGUUUGAGGUUCCAGUGAACCAUGAUUGCACCAUCGCACUCCAGCCUGGGUGAUGGAGCCAGACCCUGUCAUUAAAAAUAACACCCAUACUUUUGCCCAUUGCCCUCUUACUAGCUGCCCUCACUUCCUCUUCCCCUCUGUCCAAAUCCCACCCUUCCUUAAAUGCCACAUCCAGACUUUUCCCACAUCAACAACCAAAUCAAGUCCCACGUUCUCCAUGAUUCUUCCCUGUGGUCCCCCAACCCCAUCCAGCCCAGGCCUUCUGGAACACGUGCAUUCAAGGAUCCCCCAGUAGAGUAUCAGGGACCCCCUUGGAAUGGGACCUUUCCAAGUCAGAGUACUUUAGGUCAUGCUUUAGUGAUAAAUACGCUUGAGAAUAUUAACUGCAUAGUUAUUCAAAAAGAUGUCCAUCUCUCCUCCAAGGGAUGACUCGAAGAUCUUGGCUCCUUUUGACUUCCCUGGCUUGGCCAUCAUAGUCUUUUGCUUUUGGUCACAGUGACAGGGGUAUGCAAGAUAUUUCAGGGGUCCAGCUGAGAAGCGUGGGGUCAUCGGUUCUGUCUGCAUGCCAGAACUCAGUCACAUGACCAACAUCACUGCAAGGAAGACUAGAAGCUCUAAGGAUGCCCACGGGGGUGUAUGAACACUAAUGAUCUCUGCCAGAACACUUAGCUGUGGGCCUCAGGCAAAUCACCUGUUUUCUCUAAUCCUUCAUUCCUCAUCCCUAGAAUGGGGACACUAUGCCCUCGCUUGUAGAAUUCUUGUGAGGACUAAAUACAUAGGAAGGUAUCUACCAGCACAGUGCCAGGCACAGAGCAGAGGUUAAAGGAAUGUCCUCUUGUUUUGAUCUCAUCCAUCCUUUCUACUAAUUGUUUCUGAGAGGCUGUAGGAAAAGAGGGGGCAGGACAGCCUACAUAUGGUUUUCAUUGGAUAAAUCAGGAUGUGAGAAGAAUUCUGUUUGUAUUCUUUGCUGAUCUUAAGGCAAAUGAGUAAUAGCUAGCCGUUUGGAAAAAGGAGGUCUUCCUGGCCCACCUCAAGCCCUUCCUGACUGUUUUGGUGGUUUUGUCUGCAAGGUCUGUAAGAAAAGAGAAAGGAUCCUGCCCAUGAGCGCUAGGGCACUGAAAUCUAAAGCUAUCGCAGUUUGCUGGGUUGUUCUUGUGAGCUGCACAGAGAGAAGGGCAGAUCUCAAGCCCUCCAAAUUAUUAACACAGGUGCCGAGAGCUGACUCAACUAUACUUUGCUUACAGGAUAAGCUGAAGGUGGGUGGAGGCUGUGUUUACAGAUGGGCUCUCUCUCUGACUCAAAUCUCAAAGGUUUUGACACCAAGGGCACAGCUUUGGGAAAUGCUCUAUUUAGAAAAGCCUUGCCUAAGUCCUGGGCUGCGUUCUCAUCGUCGAGAAUAUAUUAGAAAAGUCAAUCAUGUUGGAAAUCUGGCCUUCAUCUCUUUGUGCCCAAACUCCCAUUUAAGCCAGCUGAUAUGACAUAUAUGUUUUUUUUUUUUUAAAAAAAUAGUAAGCAAUAAGAUAUUGUACACUUAAAACUUUGCUCAGAGGGUAGAUCUCAUGUUAAGUGUUCUUACCAUAAUAAAAUCACUGGACAGAAGAAAAGACAAAGAGUAUUUUAGAUGCCAAAUGCUGUCCAGCUUGGUUUUCCCAGCCUCCCAGAGCAAACUCUCCUCUGGUUACUUCAGCCUCCUCUCUGUUCUAUAGUGAUCGCCUCCCUUUUCCCAGUUCCACAUCUUUGUCUGUUAAGUUAGAAAAAAUGGUGAAAGUUAACAUUCACAAGUGAAGCUGAGAGGGAAGAGACAAAAAUAAUCAAGUCUCUCUGAGUCAAAAGACUAAUGAUAAUACAUUGAUAAUACAUAUGACAGACUAGAAACAAUAUUUCUAAUAUGUAACCUGAUAAGAAAAAACAAAGCUUUAAAAAAAAAUGGACAAAGGAACAAACCUUUUUUUUUUUUUUUUUUUUUGAGACAGAGUCUUGCACUGUCACCCAGGCUGGAGUGCAAUGGCAUGAUCUCAGCUCACUGCAACCUCUGCCUCCCAGAUUCAAGCAAUUCUUGUGCCUCAACCUCCCAGCCAGCUGGGAUUAUAGGCACAUACCACCAAGCCCGGCUUGGUGGGGAAGAGAUGGGGUUUCACCAUAAUGCCCAGGCUGGUCUUGAACUCCUGACCUCAGGUGAUCCACCUACCUUGGUCCCCCAAAGUGCUGGGAUUACAGGCGUCAGCCAUCAUGCCCAGACUAUGGACAAGCAUUUUACAGAUGAGAGAAUACAAAUGGCUUAUAAGUAUAUGAAAAGACAGUGAACUCUACUUGUAGUCAGGAAAAUGCAAGAUAAAACAACAAUACCAUUUUCACUCAUCAGAUUGGCAAAAAUUAAAGAUUGAUAGCAUCCAAUGUUGUCAAGGGUGUGAGUAAACAGGGACUCUCAUACAUUGUUAAUGGAUCUAUGAAUUCCUAAACCCUUUUGAGAAAGCAAUCUCAAGGUGACUAUUAGAAUUAAAAAUGAACACAUCCUAGCUGUUGGCAUACAUCUGAGGUCCUAGCUACUUGGGAGGCUGGAAGUGGGAAGAUUGCUUCAGGUCAGGAGUUUGAGACUAGGCUGGGCAACAUAGAGAGAUCUUGUCUCUACAAAAUUUUUUUUUAAUUAGACAUGGUGGUGUGUACCUGUAGAUCUAGCUACUUGGGAGUCUGAGGUGGGGGAUCACUUGAGUCCAGGAGUUUGAGGUUACAGUAAGCUCUGAACCAGCCACUGCACUCCAGCCUGGGCAAUGGAGUGAGACUCUAUCUAAAAAACAAAAAUCAUUUGGCACAGCAAUCCCAAUUUGAGAAUGUAUUUUAAGGAGAUAUACACCUAUAAUAUUUAUUGCAAGGUUGUUUCUAGUAGCAAAAGCUAGAUAGAAUCUGAAUUGUUCAUCAAUAGGGAAAUGUUGGGUAAAUUACAGUACUUAAAUACUAUGGGAUGUUAUGGAAAUAUUGAAGAGUGCAUUAAACCCAUACAUGUUGACCUGGAGGAAUCCACAUAGUACCAUGGUAUAACAGUAAGCAGCAAAAGCAAAAAGCAAGCAGCAAGGACAAAGUCAUGGUGUGAGAGCGGGGAGGGAGAGGCAUAUGGGGAAUGGCUGUGUACUAUUAAAUGAUCUCAAAGAAAGAUAUAGAAGGCUACAUACUCUCUAGGAUGUUAACGGUGAUUACCUGAAGGGAGAGGUAUCAGAGCUAAGGAAGGGAAGACAUUAACUUUAAAAGUCUGUAUUUGGGCCUGGUGCAGUAGCUCAGUACUUGGGGAGGGUAAAGCGGAAGGAGUUUGAACCCAGGAGUACAAGGCUACAGUGAGCCAUGAUUGCACCUCCGCACUCCAGCGUGGGGGACAGCAUGAUAUUCUAUUGCUAAAAAAUUUAAUUUGUAAUGACAGAUAUUCCCAACGUGGGAAAAAAGUACUGAAGAAAGCGUUGAGUGAGGUCUCCAUGGUAAGGGGUGGGCAAGUUCCUGAGUUCAGGCCUAUUUGCCCCUCCCUGGCUUCUCUCCUAUUCAAAUGAGCUAAUUUAACAAAAGUGAGAUAGUUUGCAUUUCCUUGGUUACGUGGGUUUAGAUCCUGGGAUACAAACAGCCUCAUUUACAUGUGUAGCUUGACCAUCUCUUGAUAUCCGUGAGCUCCAAUAAUGAAUUAAAGCCAGUCAGUCCCAACUGCCUCCCUGAGGUUGACUUUCUUUUGGUACAGGCCUCUGUCUGAACAGGGCGAGUGUAUUGUUAAUGCCUCUACCCGUGAAUAGCAGUCUGGGCCCAGAGUCAGCUGUGGUGCAUCUGAAGAUGGUCCAGCUCUUUCUCCCCACCCCAUCAUAAACUUGUUAAACACCUGCCCACUGACUGAGGUGGAUGCCAUUUGUCUCUCUGCUCCCUGCUUCUCAGCCACACUGGGGAAAACCCUUUCUUCUGAGCCUGAGCUACCCUGGAGGUCACGGUGGCACAGUCACCAUGGCAACUCCCUUCAGGGUAUGAUGGAGGGAGCUGAGGAAAAGAGUCAGAAACUUACCAGGAGGCCCCAGGAGAAAGCCACUUUCACAGAGGAAAAUUUCAAAGUCUCAAAGAUUGGGCUGAAAUACGGAGCCCUGCCUUGUAUGGGAUAUGUUAUUUCUGGAAAGUUGCCCUAUGUCAUUCUGUGGAGGUAAAGUUUUUUAACGUUACUUUAAACAUACACUAGAGUUCCCUAUAUUGGGAGCCUUGUUGUGACAUUCUUUUGCAAAGUGAAUAAAAACCCUAAUUAUUCUUUGAAUGCAAGCAUAGAUAUUCAGAUGUCAAGUGGUUUUACAGUUCAGCACACCAGUGCUUUUGGAUUUGGAAGAUGUUGGGUAGUAAGAGUGCGAGUGGAGCCUGAGAAGGAAUCUACUUUGAGUGAUGGCUUGGGUGUUAUCUGGAUGCUGUCUUAAGGUUAGUUGCUACCAGUAGAAAAGCCUGGGCUGAGGAGUCUGGUGAAAGUGAUUUAUAAAGGAACUCCUCCCAGGAGAAAUCUAGAGGAUGAAAGAAACAGGAUAGGAAACAGAAAGAAGCCAGGCAAAGGUCAGAUUUCAGGUCCUGACUCAGCCUGAUCCCAUGGGGAGCUCUGAGGUAUAAAGUACUCCCCAGCAUUUACCAUCUUGAAUCAAAGGAGCUGGGCUUCAUACUCUCAAAUUAAUCAGUGAUUGCUUAUAGUUUUCCCAGGAUAAAGUAAAAUUUUCAGAGGGAAACAGCUUUGGUGUUCCCAGUCAGUUUUCUGAAAGUCAUCAGUGCAAGCUGAUAGCGACAAAAAACACAGAGGUGGAGAGUGGGCAUGUGGAGGUGGUGAUCGGGAUUUCAGAGGGUCUAGGAGGCCUUCAGCAGAGUCUACUAUAGAUGCCAAGAAUAGUACAUAAACGGCUUUCCAAGAGCACUACCUUAACAACAACAACAAAAAAUCAGUGAAAUUAAUUAGCUUCCCACAACACAGUAUUUAGAACCAUGUUUUAGAAGAAAGCUAAUAGUAUACGUAGGCAGAUACAGAAUUGGUUGAGCAUUUCUGAAGAAUAGGGAAGGAAUGGCUGUUGGCUGGGUAGAUAGCUCCGGAAGUAGAACACAGGACUCCACCUGGGGCUUGUGUUGUGAAAUAUUUAUAUCUACAUCUUGGAGAGGAUAGAGAGCUUCUGCCAAGUAAAUCUGUGGAUUCUCCUAAACUGAGAGAAAAGCUAAUGGAACAAAUGACAAAAGAGUCGAAAGGAAGAUUCCAAUGAAUGAAUAACGGCAAGAUUAACAUUAAAGAGAUAAAUGUAAGUCUAAUGUGAACCUAAUUUCAUUAUGAUCAUCCACAUAAUGGAAUAUUAUAUAGCCACAGUAUUAGUCCAUUCUCACAUUGCUGUAAAGAAAUACCUGAGACUGGGUAAUUUUUUUUUUUUUUUGAGACUGAGUUUCACUGUUGUUACCCAGACUGGAGUGCAAUGGCACGAUCUCGGCUCACCGCAACCUCCGCCUUCUGGGUUCAGGCAAUUCUCCUGCCUCAGCCUCCUGAGUAGCUGGGACUACAGGUGCGCACCACCAUGCCCAGCUAAUUUUUGUAUUUUUAGUAGAGACAGGGUUUCACCUUGUUGACCAGGAUGGUCUUGAUCUCUUGACCUUGUGCUCCACCCACCUCAGCCUCCCAAACUGCUGGCAUUAUAGGCGUGAGCUACCGCGCCCGGCCAAGACUGGGUAAUUUAUAGAGAAAAGAGGUUUAAUUGGCUCACAGUUCUGUGGGUUGUACAGAAAGCAUGGCAGCAUCUGCUCAGCUUCCGGGAGGCAUCAGGAAACUUAAAAUCAUGGCAGAAGGUGAAGGGGGAGUUGGCAUUUCACAUUGCUGGAGCAGGAGGAAAAGAGAGAGUGGGGAGGUACUACGCACUUGUAAACAACCAGAUUUCAUGAGAAAUCACUAUCCCAUUCAGUCUUUCUAGGUCUCAGGGUCUGUGAUAGGUGGCGCUGCCAGGAAGGUCUCUAAAAUACCUUCUAGUCCUUUUCCCCAUUGUCUUAGCUGCUCACACUUAGUUCCUUCUUUUUACUUAUGCGAAUUUCUGCAGCCUGCUUGAAUUCCUUCCUUGAAAAUGGGAUUUUCUUUUCUACCACAUGGCCAGGCUGCAGAUUUUCAAAAUUAUUAUGCUCUGCUUUUCUUUUAAAUAUAAGUUCCAGUUUUAGGUUAUUUCUUUGCUCAUGCAUCUGAGCAUUGGCUGUUAGAAGUAGCCAGGCAACAUAUUCCAUAUCCUGACUGCUUUGCUCUUAGAAAUUUCUUCUGCUAGAUACUGUAAAUCAUCACUCUCAAGUUCAAAGUCCACAGAUUCCUAGAGCAAGGACACAAUGUAGCUUGGCUCUUUGCUAGAGCAUAACAAAAGUGACCUCUACUCCAGUUCCCAAUAAGUUCCUCAUUUCUGUAUGAGACCUCCUCAGACUGGACUUCCAUAUCACUAUCAGCAUUUUGGUCAAAGCCACUCAACGAAUCUCUAGGAAGUUCCAAACUUUCCCUUAUCUUCCUUCUUUUCUGCCCCCUACAUUCUUCAAACCUCUGCCUGUUACCCAGUUCCAAAGCUGCUUCCGCAGUUUCAGAUAUUUUUAUAGCAAUGCCCCACUCCUCAGUACCAAUUUUCUAUAUUAGUCCAUUCUUGCACUGCUGUAAAGAAAUUUCUGAGACUAGGUAAUUUAUAGAGGAAAGAGAUUUAAUUGGCUCAUUGUCCUUCAGGCUGUACAGAAAACAUAGUGGCUUCUGCUUCUGAAGAGGCCUCAGGAAGCUUCUAAUCAUGGCAGAAGAUAAAGGAGGAGAGAGGCACUCCACUUGGCCAGAGCAGUAGGAAGAGAUGUAGAGGGAGGGGGAGAAGAGAGAGAGAGAGAGAGAGGGAGGAGAGAGAGGGAAGAGAGAGAGGAUGCUACACCCUUUUAAACAAGCAGAUCUCAUCAGAACUCAUUAUUGUGAUGACAGCACCAAGGGGGAUGGUGCUAAACCAUUCAUGAGAAACUGCACCCAUGAUCCAAUCAGCUCCCACCAGGCCCCACCUCCAGCACUGGGGAUUACAUUUCAAUAUGAGAUUUGGGCUGGGACACAGAUCCAAAUCAUAUCAGCCACUAAAGAUAAUUUUGAAGAAUAAUAAUUACAUGGAAAAACGUUCAUAAUUAUUUGGUUAUAAAAGGUCAUCACAAUAUGCAUAGGAAACAUUUUCAAAGACAUAUUCUAAAAUGGUGGGAUUCUACAGGUGGAAUAUAAUGGAUUUUCACUCUGAUUUUGCUCAAUUCUAUUUAUAUAUAUUUAAAAAUGAUAAAUUGGGAAAAAAACAAAGUAGCAGUUGUUUUGGGGUUUUUUUGUUUUGUUGUAUGGGGAAAAUAUAACUGAAAAGACAGGAUUCUAAAUCUGAAUGCAUUUAUUAACAGAGCUUUAAAAUACAUGAAGCAAAAAUUAAAGGGCAAUGAUUAAUUUAAUAAUUAAUAGAAAAAAUAGAUAGAAAAUCAGUAAGGCUAUAGAAAACUUCAACACCAUCAACACCAAACCAACCUAGCUGAUAUUGUAGAACCUCUUCUGCCUCUGCCACCCUGGGACAGCACGACCAACACCUCCUCUUACUCCUCCUCCUCAGCCUACUCAACGUGAAGAUGGAAAGGAUGACAACCUUUAGGAUGAUCCGCUUCCACUUAAUGAAGAGCAAAUCUAUUUUCUUUUCUUCAUUUUGUUUUUAACAUUUUCUUUUCUCUAGCUUACUUCACUGAAGAUGACAGUAACACACAAAAUAUGUCUUAAUCGAUUGUUCAUGUUAAUGGCAAGGCUUGAAGCCAAGAGAAGGCCAUUAGCAGUUAAGUUCUGACUAAGGGAGUCAAAAGUUAUACACAGAGUUUAAAAAAAAUUAUUAUUAUUUUUUUAGAUGAAGUUUUGCUUUCGUUGCUCAGGUUGGAGUCUGGUGUGCAGUGGCGCGAUCUCGGCUCACUGCAACCUCCGCCUUUCAGGUUCAAGCGAUUCUCCUGCUUCAGCCUCCCGAAUAGCUGGGAUUACAGGUAUGCGCCACCACAUACAGCUGAUUUUGUAUUUUUAGUAGAGAUGGGAUUUCUCCAUGUUGGUCAGGAUGGUCUCAAACUCCAAACUCAGGCGAUCUGCCCACCUCAGCCUCCCAAAGUGCUGGGAUUAUAGGCGUGAGCCACCACACUUGGCCAAUGAGACUUUUAAUAACUAUUUUUGUCUACAUUUCUUUAUUUUCCAUGUAUUUUUAGGAGAAAUAGGGUUUUACCAUGUUGGCCAGGAUGGUCUCGAUCUCUUGACCUCAUGAUCCACCCGCCUUGGCCUCCCAAAGUGCUGCGAUUAUAGGUGUGAGCCACCUUACACCUGUACAGGCUUAGAUUUUUUAACUAUGUGUGUGUAUAGUGCUCCUAAAUCCUACAUUAUUCAAGAGUCAAUUGUAUAGAAAAACAUUCCUCAUGAACAUAGAUGUAGAAAUUCUUAACAAAAUAUUAUGAAAUCAAAUCCAGAGGUAUAUAAAAAAGAUAAUGCAUCAUGACCUAGUGGACUUUAUAUCAGGAAUUCAUGAUUGGUUUAAUAUUUGAAAAAUCAGUGAGGCUGGGUGUGGUGGCUCAAACCUGCAAUCCUGGCACUUUGGGAGGCAGAGGCGGGCAGAUCACCUGAGGUCAGGAGUUUGAGGCCAGCAUGGCCAACAUGGCAAAACCCUGUCUCUGCUACAAAAAGCACACAAACGUAUUAGCUGGGCAUGGUGGUAGGCACCUGUAAUCCCAGCUACUUGGGAGGCUGAGGCAGGGAGAAUCACUUGAACCGAGUGGUGGAGGUUGCAGUGAACUGAGAUCUUGCCACUGCAUUCCAGCCUUGGGACAGAAUGAGACUUUGUCUCAAAACAAAAAACAAAAAAACAAACAAAAACCCAAUUGAUAUAAUUUGUUUUUUAAAAGAGUAAAGGAGAAAAACCUAUAGGGUCAUCAUAAUAGAUGCAAAAAUGUAUUUGACAUUUGCUUAUUUAUAAUAAGAAAACUUCAUCAAUCUGACAAAAAAUACCAAAGAAAACCCUACAGCUAACAUCAUACCUAAUGAUGAAAUAUUAAAUACUUUUCCUGUAAGACUGAGAAAAGGUAAAGAUGAAUGCUCUUAUAUCUAUUCAACAUUGUACUGUAGGUUUUAGCAGCUGCAAUAAAGCAAAACAAACAGACCAAAAAAACCCCACAAGCAUGCAGAUGGAAAGAGAGAAGUAAAAUCAUCUUUGUUCACAAAUGACACGACUUCUCUCUCUUUUUUUUUUUUGAGAAGGAGUUUCGCUCUUGUUACCCAGGCUGGAGUACAAUGGCAUGAUCUCGGCUCACUGCAACCUCCACUUCCUGGUUUCAAGUGAUUCUCCCGCCUCAGCCUCUCAAGUAGCUGGGAUUACAGGCAUAUGCCACCAUGCCUGGCUAAUUUUGUAUUUUUAGUAGAGACGGCGUUUUUCCACGUUGGUCAGGCUGGUCUCAAACUCCCAACCUCAGGUUAUCUGCCCUCCUUGGCCUCCCGAAGUUCUGGGAUCACAGGCGUGAGCCACUUCUCCCAGCUGACGAGAUUUUUCUAUGUAAAAGUUUUAAAGAAAAAUGCUAGAACUAAUAUGUGUGUUGAGCAAGGUUUCAGAAUAAAAGGCCUAUUAUGUACAAAACUAAAUUGAAUUUCUAUAUAUUAGCAGCAAACAAUUGAAAAUUAAAAUCUUUAAAAACAUCAUCUUUAAUGACAUCAAAAGCAUUUAAUAUAAAAGAUGACAAAAGAUGUAUAAGACACUGAAAAAAUUUUUAAAAAAUUGUUGAGAGAGCUCAAAGAACACUUAAAUAAAUGGAAGACACAUGACGGUUGCUGUGGACUAACUUGUGUGCCCCCCAAAUUUAUAUGUUGAUGCCCCAAUCCACAAUGUGACUUUAUUUGUAGAUGGGCCCUCUAAGGAAGUAAUUAAGGUUACAUGAAGUCAUAGGAUGGGUCCCUGAUUCUAUUGAAUUAACGUCUUUAUAAGAAGAGACACAGAGACUUUUUACUCUCUAUCUAUUCGUCACACAAACAAGAGGUCAUGGGAGCACCCAGUGAGAUGGUGGCUACCUACAGGCCAAAAGAAGAGGCCUCCGAAUAAAACCUUCCUUGUUGGCACCUUGAUCUUGAAUUUCCGAACAGUGAGGAAAUACAAUUCUAUUGUUUAAGCCACUCAGCCUUUGGUAUAUUGUUAUGGCAGCCUGAGCAGAGUAAUACAGUGUUCAUGGAUCAGGAAACAUAACAUUGUCAAGGUGUCAGUUCUGUCCAGAUUGAUCUAUAGAUUCAAUACGACCCCAAUUAAGAUCCCAACAGACAUUUUUAUAGAAAUUGUCAAGCUGAUUCUAAAAUUUGUAUGAAAAUUCAAGGUACCUACAAUAGCCAAAACCACUUUGAAAAAGAAUAAAACUGUAAGUCUAAUUUACCUGAUUUCAAGAAAUUAUUAUACAGCUACGGUAAUCAAGACAGUGUGGUACUGGUGUAAAGACAGCUAUAUAGAUCAAUGGAACAUAGUGGAAAGGCCAGAACUAGACCAGUACAUACAGAGCCAAUGGAUUUUUGAUAAAGCUGUCAAAGCACAUUAAGAGACAUGUAUAAGAAUGUGCACACUAUUCAUGUUAGCUCCAAGCUGGAAAGCCACACAAUGUCCAUCAAUAGUAGAAUGGAUUAAUGAAUUAUAGAACACUAUAUGAAUUAUGGAACACUAUACCCUAAUGAAAAUGAAUAAACGAUAACUGUCUAUAAAAAUAUAAAUAAGUCUCAUAAACAUAAUGUCAAAUGAAAGAAGCCAGACACAAAAAGGUAUGUACUCUAUGAUUGCUGCUACAUAUAUAAGACAGGAAAACUAACCUAUAGUGUUAGAAUUCAGCAUAAUGGGUAGUCUAGAAGGACAGAGGAGGGACUGGAAAGGUCUGUGAAGAGGCAUCUGAGGGGCUGGCAAUGUUCUGUUUCUUGAUAUGGAUGCUGGUACACAUGUGUGUUCGAGUUCUGAAAAUUUAUCAAGCUGUAUACUUAAGAUUGGUGCAUUUUUCUGUAUGUAGCUCAUACUUUGAUAAUUUUUUAACUCCUAUUCAGAGAGCUCAACAUAACACCCAACCAGCCAUUGAAGAAUACAGAGUGCAGAAUCCUUUCAUCUGGAUUUUACAUUUCUGUUAGCAUCAGUGAGAUCAUAUUCAGGAUUUUUUGUUUGCUUGUUUGUUUUUGUAAUCCUCUUUUUAAAAAACAUUUUCUUUUCUUUUUCUUUCUUUUUUUUUUUGAGACAGAGUCUUGCUAUGUCACCCAGGCUAGAGUGUAGUGGUGCAAUCUCACUAUAACCUCUGCCUCCUGGGUUCAAGUGAUUCUUGUGCCCCAGCUUCCUGAGUAGCUGGAAUUACAGGUGUGUGCCACCAUACCAGGCUAAUUUUUGUAUUUUUAGUAGAGAUGGAGAUUCACCAUGUUGGCCAGGGUGGUCUUGAACUCCUGGCCUCAAGCAAUCCACCUGACCUGACCUCCCAAAGUGCUGGGUUUACAGGCAUGAGCCACCGGACCCCCACUGUUUUUGUAAUCGUAACAGAGUAUUGGCUCAUUUUAUGCUGACAUGUCCUACUUAGUGCUUCUCACAUUCUUUAAAAUAAUUUCUUUUUUACCUACUGUUGUCUGUUUCCUUUUAGAAGCUUUUUUUUUAAUUUUUCACAUUUAGAUCUAUAUUUUGUGUAUGCGUAUCAGGAGGAGUCAAGGUUCACUUUUUUCUAUGUGGACCCAGCACCAGUUUUUGAAAAGACACUUCUUCGCAGCACUGCAGUAUCAUCUUUGCUAUAAAUCAGGUGAUCAAUUGUCUGUUUCUGGAACCUCUCAUCUGUUCCAUUGGUCAACACCACACCGCUUCAAUUGCUUUAACUUUAAAAUAGGUCUUAGUAAUGAUAGUGCAAUUCCUCCAGCUUUGUUUUUCUUCAAAAUUGGCAUGGGCAUUCUUGAGCUUUUGCAUUUCCACAUACAUUUUAGAAUUAGCUUGUUAAUGUUCACCCAGAAAAAAAGUCGCUAACAUUUUGAUUGGGAUUGCAUGAGAUGUAGAGUUCUACUGGAGGAAAAAUGACUGCUUUGCGGUAUUGAGCCUUCCAAUUCAUGAACGUGGUGUCAUUCUCUACUUACUUAGGUCAUUUAACAUUUCUCUUUGUUUUCAGGUAAGAGUCUUGCAUUGUUUUGUUGAUUUAUUUAUGGGUGUUUGAUUUUUUUAUGCUACUGUAAAUGGUGUCAUUAAAAAGUUUUAUUUUCUAUUUGCUUGUGCGUAUAGAAAUGCAUUUGACAUCUGUACAUUGACUUUGUAUCCAGAGACCUUGUUAAAUUACUCAUUAAUUCUAAUAAUUUUUCUUUAUAUCCUUUUGGGUUUUCUAUGUAUUCAGUUAUGUUGUCUGAGAAUACUGACAUUAUAUUGUGUGUAUUUUGAAGCUCUGUUUCUAGAUGUAUAAAUGUUUAUGAUUGCUGUGUUCUUUUAAUGAAUUGACUGCCAUAAAAUCACCUUUUUCUCAUCCCUGGUUAUAUUUCCCCUCUGAAAUCUGCUUUUGUCUGAUAUUUUACAGCAACUCCUGCUUUCUUUUGCUUAGUGUUAGGAAGGUAUAUCUUUUUUCAUCUUUUUACUUUUAACCCAUUUGUUCUUCAUCUUAGUAGUUUGCUAGUUAAGAGUAUACUGUUGUGUCUUGUUUUCUUACCCAAUGUGAUAAUCUCUGCUGUUUAAUUGGAGGUGUAUAUUGAUGUGGUUAGAUUUAUCUUUUUCUUUUUUUUGAGAUGGAGUUUUGCUCUUACUGCCCAAGCUGGAGUGCAAUGGUGCAAUCUUGGCUCACUGCCACCUCCGCCUCCCAGAUUCAAGCGAUUCUACUGCCUCAGCCUCCUGAGUAGCUGGGAUUAUAGGCAUGUGCCACCAUCCCCGGCUAAUUUUUUUGAUAAUUUUAGUAGAGACAGUGUUUCACCAUGUUGACGAGGCUGAUCUUGAACUCCUGACCUCAGGUGAUCUACCCACCUCGGCCUCCCAAAGUGCUGGAAUUACAGGCAUGAGCCAUUGCUCCUGGCAGAUGUGGCUGGAUUUCAAUGUACCAUUUUACUAUUUGCUUUCUAUUUCUGCUAUCUCUUCUUUGUUCCCUUUUUCCUCUUGUACUGCUUUCUUUUGUAUUAAAUAUUCUUUUUAUGAUUUUAUUUUAUCACCUUUAUUGACUUAUUAGCUAAACUGCUUUGUUUUGUUCUUUUAGUGAUUGCUUUAGGCUUCAUAAUGCACAUUAUUAACUUAUCACGCAUAUGUUCAAGAUGUGUUAUAGUGCUUCACAUAUGGUAUGAGGACCUUACAACACUGUACUUUCAUUUCACCCCUUCUGGCCUUUGUGCUAUUGUUGUCAAACAUUUUCCUUCCACAUGGAUUAGAAACUCCACAAUGCCAGGUUACUCUUGCUUUAAACCAUCAAUUACCUCUUAAGGUGAUUUAAGUAAUAAGAAAAUAAGUCUUUUGUAUUUCUCCACACAUUUACUAUUUCUGGUGUUCAUUCCUUUAUAUAAAUCCAGAUUUUCCUUUGGUAUAAUUCUUAUUCUGCCUUAAGGACCUCCUUUAAUAUUUCAUUGUGCUGGUGGUUUGCUAGUGAUCAAUUUUCUAAGAUUUUGUGUCUGAAAAGGUCUUUAUUUAGUUUUUGUUUCUGAAAGAUUUUCAGUGUGUUUAGGAUUCUAUGAUUUGUUUCCCUCCAGUAUCUUAAAGAUGUCACUUCACUACCUUCUCACGUGUCUAUGUUUUUUUAAUGGGACACGGCCUUACGCUGUCUUCACCUUGGAUUGCAUUUGUUGCCGUAUCUUCAAGUUUACUAAUCUGUUUUUUUCAGUGUCUAACCUGCUGGCAAUUCUAUCCAGAGUAUUUUUCAUUUCAGAUGAAUUUUUUUUAUCUUUAGAAGUUUGCCUUGGGUUUUUAAAAAAAAUUUCCUUGCCUACCCUUAUCAUAAUCAUUUCCUCUACCUUCUUGAACUAUGUGAAGUAAUAGCAAUUUUUAACACACUGCCUACUAAUUCUAUCAUCUGUGUCAUUUCAGGAUAUGUUUCUCAUGCUUGAUUUUUCUUUUUUCUCUUUAUUAUGAGUCAUAUAUUCCUUUCUUUUCUUUCUUUUUUUUGAGACAGAGUCUUGCUCUGUCACCCAGGCUGGAGUGCAGUGGCAUAAUCUUGGCUCACUGCAACCUUUGCCACCCAGGUUCAAGUGAGUCUCCUGCCUCAGCUUCCCGAGUAGCUGGGACUACAGAUGUCUGCCACUAAGGCCAAAUAAUUUUUUUUUUUUUGAGAGGGUGUCUCACUCUGUUGCCUAGGCUGGAGUGCAGUGGUAUGAUCUUGGCUCACUGCAACCUCUGCCUCCCAGGUUCAAGCUAUUCUCCUGACUCAGCCUCCCGAAUAGCUGGGAUUACAGGCACAUGCCACCAUGUCCAGCUAAUUUUUGUAUUUUUAGUAGAGACAGGAUUUCACCAUAUUGGCCAGGAUGGUCUCAAUUUCUUGACCUUGUGAUCCACCCGCCUUGGCCUCCCAAAGUGCUGGGAUUACAGGCAUGAGUCACUUCACCUGGCCUAAUUUUUGUAUUUUUAGUAGAGAUGGGGUUUCACCAUGUUGGCCAAGCUGUUCUCAAACUCCUCACCUCAGGUGAUUCCCCCUCCCCGCCUCGGCCUCCCAAAGUGCUGGGAUUACAGGUGUGAGCCACCGUGCCCGAUUUGAGUAAUAAAUUCUUGCUUGCUGAAAUACUCAGUAACUUUUGAACUCUUCCCUCUACUGUGCCCUAAUUGGAUUCCCCAACACUGUAACUGUUGGUCCUAAUUCUGUGUUUUAGAGUUAUGUAAGCUAUGGACCCUGUAGCACCUUCCUUCAUGAUACUUCGCAACAUUUUAGAUGUCUCAUUUACUUGUGGGAUCAUCAGAUAAAUGUCUCUGCUUUUCUGACCAGAUUCCCUCCAUGGCACAGGUUCUAGGUAUGCUCUUGGUCAUCACUAUAUCCCAGCGUAGGGCACAGGCCUGGUGCAUUUGAAGUCCUUGAUAAAUACCUGUUGAAUGAGAAUGAGAAAAAUGCUUGGCUUUGGUGACUGGCACCUAUUAAGACUGACACUCUGUCAUAUGACCUGAAUUUGCAUUUUGUGGUUUUAGAACUCAGCUCUUUGCUGAUUGAAAGGGAGUUGAGCUCAGAUCUCUGAAUCCAGAAUGUUCUAAAAAAAAAAGAAAGAAAGAAUUAUUGUUAAGUUGUUGAAGUUGUACAUGGUAUAGUGAGAAUGUAUUGAUUGAUUGAUUGAGAAAGAGUCUCGCUCUGUUGCCCAGGCUGCAGUGCAGUGGCACGAUCUUGGCUCACUGCAACCCCCACCUCCCAGAUUCAAUCAAUUAUCCUGCCUCAGCCUACCAAGUGGCUGGAAUUACAGGCAUGUGCCAUCAUACCUGGUUAACUUUUGUAUUUAGUAGAGACGGGAUUUCACCACGUUGGCCAGGCUGGUCUCGAAUUCCUGAUCUCAGGCGAUCCACUCGCCUUGGCCUCCCAAAGUGCUGGGAUUACAGGCAUGAACCACCAUGCCUGGCCAAGAAUGCUUUUAAAAAGACUUCAUCUUUUAGAUUUAUAUAUAGUGAACCCUUUAUGAAUAAAAUAAUGUAAUGUUUGGUAUUUACUUCCAAAUAAUUGGCAGGUGGGUGAGAGUACAGAUGAAACAAGAUUGGCCAUGAGUUAAUAAUUAUUGAACCUGGGACAAGGGUACAUGGGGUUUAUUAUACUCUUAAAUUUUCCUUAUAAAAGUGAGAAAAUUAUUUAGCUCUUUGAUUAGCUGAACAAAACAUGAAUGGGCAGGGGUGAAAUGGGUGUUCAGGAUGGGGAGGGGUGAGGAAGAGAAGGAAGUCAGAGGUUUCAAAGAUGCAGGACCCUCCAAGAAGUCACCUGGAGGCUGCCAAACCAGAGCUGUCUCUGGCAAAAUGAGGGGCUUCUGAUGGUGGUGCUUUUGUUUGUUCCUUUAUGCACUUAUCUACCAAUCUCUUUCCAUUUCAUAAAUGGAAUAGUCAUAAUUAAGAGGUGAGUCUCACAGGCUCUCUCAAGCAGUAUGCCAAAAAAAAAAAAAAAAUGCCCUUUAGGCAACAAUCCUCCAGCUCCUAGCUCACUCACCCUGGAGCUCCUGGGAGACCUGCUGAUUCUGCUUUCACAGCGAGUGUCAGCCCUUUGAGACAGAGGCGCAGGUGGUGCUGCUUGGGCUUCUGCCUCAUAGUCAUCCAAUAGCUACUGUAUUAUUCCCUGACAGUAGCUCUGUGUCUUUAGGAUUCAGGAUGCUGUGCCCAGGUCACUGUGACUAGUUGUUUCUCUUUUUUGCAUGGUUUGCUGGGGGUGGGGCAGGGAGGACUUCUGAGUGGCCCUGGCUCAUUCUACGUUCACAGCACACAGGUUCUGGACCCUUUCUGCAGGCUUGAAGGAAAUGGUUUCUCAUACACAAACUCUUCUUUCCGCUCCAUUUCUGGGGUCGUCUCAUAUCUGUGCCUGCAACGCAAAAGAUGGGUAUUCCUGAAAGAUCUGGCUGGGAUCAUCCAUAAAGAGACCCAGUAUUCUAGGUAAAUCAGAUUAUCUGGUGGAAGGCUUUAUCCUAACUUUCUUGGGGUGUUCCUGUGUCAACAGCAGUCUAGAGUUGGCCGUAUAUACCAUAAUUGCUUCUGCCCCCACUCAAGAUCUCUCCUGUUUGGAGACAAAAGCUCAGGGAGAAUGGGCAUUUUCAGGGAGCAAAGAUGUGUUAAUAUACUUCCAAUGGCUGAACCUGAGAGCUUGUCUGGAGGGUCUAGCAGGGGAGCGCAGCUACUCACAUGUCCUUGACUGAAAAUCGGUCCUCCUCUAUCAGGGAUGGUCGUCUUCAGCUGAGCACGCAGCUUUGGGAGGGACGCACAUGGAGUGGUGAGAGAGGAAGGGGACACCCACUUAGCCAGCCAGAUCAGCUGAAUCAACCCUCAUGCUCAAUGGGGUGAUGGAUAUUGCAGCCAGAUCGCCCUCAUGUCCAGAACUUGCAAGCCAAUAGACUUUUCAGUGGAAUGAAAGAAAUUCUGGAAAAAUUACUUCCAUGAAAUUUGGUGAGGUUAGAAAAAAAACUCUUGAUGGAUUUUCUAAUUUGAAGACCCAAAAUUAUAUUUUCUACUUUAAAAGCAAAAUACCUCAUUAAAGAACUCUUGAAAAAUACAAAAGAAGGGGAAAAAAAGAAAAAAAAUCUAACCAUAGUUCUACCACCGAAACACAAGUAUUCAUACAUUUUCAUCUAUUUUAUUCUCUUCAUUUUCUUUUGAAAUGCACAGUCUCCAUCCUCCAGCCAAUGGUUGAAAGUCUAGCAUACACAAAUUUUGGUGUAACUGUUGUUUUCUACCCUGUUACAAAAUGUCUCUGUGUUUUCAUGUUCUCUCCAUAAGAGACAUGUUGCCAGAUGGUUUCUCAAGGAGCUCCUCCUGGUUUUUUUCACCCUUCCCCUAUAAAUGGGCAGAUGGGAUGUUUCCAUUUUUGCCCCAUAGCAGAUAUCUUUUUCUGUAUUUGGAGUGCUUUCCUUAGGAUUGAACACAGAAGUGGGAGUUCUGAGUCAAAGAUACUGGAUAUUUUUAUGGCUCUUGACUCAUUUGGCCGAUUUGCUUUUCACAGAUUUUGCAAAAACUUACACACCCACAAGAGUUCAGAUUUGAGUCUUUAAAUUUUGAACGACAUUGUUGCACGUACCACACCUUCUAUAGUAAAUAUUUUCCUGCUCAGAUACAACCUUUAAAGGUUCUGACACCAGAGACAGUAUCCUCUCCUAUUCAAAGCCUUUGGCUCUUUCUGGAAGAUGCUGGAAAGCAGGCUUGAGGUGCAGGAUACGAUUAGAGUCUGUCCUUGUUCCCCCAUCCUCAGCUUAGGCCACUGGUGUUCAUUCCUGCCUUUUCCUCCUGGGAACAGUUCUGUAAUCUGAAUGUCCUGCAGCAAUUCAGAAAGCAAUUCUGCCACCUAGACUCUGCCUGGUUUCUACUGGUCUGUGGUCAUGUUGGCCACUCCCUGGUUUGGAUUCUUUCUACUGCUACUCAAAGUCCUAGUGGAGGUGGAGGGAUUAACGCUAAGGGGUUAGGAGCUCAGCCUAGUUCUCUGGUCAAGGAAUGCACCAUUCCUAUCCCCCUAAGAUACGCAACAAAAUUAUUGGCAGGUUUUGCCAACUUAAACUCUACCCAGGAGAAAAAAAUCCCUUCAUGCACCCCCUGCCUUUUUUUGAUACUAAGAGAGAAAGAAAAAGAGAGAUUAAAAUAUUUACAAGUAUCCAAUCAUUCCCCUUCUUUGGGAAGUCAAGUAUUAGAGGAAAACAGACAGACAACUGUAAGCAUUUAGCAAGUUGAAAAAGAAACGAGCAGGUUUCAGCUGGAGCCAGUCAGGUGGUUGGCAGCACCCACCCAGGGGAUGGAGUUUCUGUCCUGAUUAUUUUGUUUCAUUUUGCCCACGGGAGAGGGAGAGUGGCUGUGGAUGCAGCAGAAGGGGAGUGCUGGGGGCCGGGGGGCCAUCUCCAUGUUUAAUUCAGCUUACUUUGAGAGUAAGUUAAAGUCUUGUAGCAAAGAGUUCCUUCACAGCAGAAAUUUGGGAAUCUAAAAAAUGCCAGAAAAAAAUAAAGCUUGGAAAGAUGUUAGACUGUGCGUAGACCUAGAGCAGAGGAGCCUAGAACGCACUGAUAGCUCCUUGAGGUGAGUUGGAAGCACAGUGGUUCAGGAUAGGUGGUUGGGAAAUAAAUGAUGACCAUAGCUAACAUCUCUUCAGUGCUUACUAUGUCCCAAGUACUAUCCAAAACACUUCACAUAGAUAAACUGUUUAUUCCUCACUGCAAACUUACAUGGAAAUGACUACUACUGCCUCGAUUUAUGGAUGAGGACACUGAGUCACAGAGAGGGUGUGUGAUGAGACUGGUAGGUUGAGGCUGGGGUAAUUACAUGGGCUGGAUCCUGAAGGUAAGGAAGAGAAAGGAGAAAGGGAUGGCAAACAAUCUUUCUGGGAUGUGGAUGUCUAGCUAUCUGUACCCCAAAGCUGGGGGUAUCCCUGGACUUGCCCCUGUCCCCCUUCUCCAGUUACUCCUGUAAUUUCCUGGAUCCAGUCCAUUCCCAGCACCAUCCCCGCCAC